rnacentral:misc_RNA from 1 species
AAACUACAAGGGGAGCCUAAGCUCCCCUUCAAGUAGUUACAUUCUUUAUUGUUAUUAUUGCGGGCUUGUUGUUUUUGUAAAUUUACCCGUUCCAUCAGGUCUGCGACCUGUGGAAAACCUCUCAAUGAGAGGAUUAAUAGCAAACGGAUUUGUUUGGACGCUGACAUUGCAAUGAUCAUCCAGUGAUCCAACCAGUUCGGGCGCUGCUUAUAAGCAGUU